AACGAACGCUGGCGGCAGGCCUAACACAUGCAAGUCGAACGCUCCGCAAGGAGAGUGGCAGACGGGUGAGUAACACGUGGGAAUCUUCCUAUUGGUGUGGAAUAGCUCAGGGAAACUUGAGGUAAUACCGCAUAAGCCCUCCGGGGGAAAGAUUUAUCGCCGAUAGAUGAGCCCGCGUCUGAUUAGCUAGUUGGUGGGGUAACGGCCUACCAAGGCGACGAUGCUUAGCGGAUCUGAGAGGAUGAUCCGC
rnacentral:rRNA from 1 species